UUCCGGUUGAUCCCGCCGGACCUGACUGCUAUCGGAUUGAUACUAAGCCAUGCGAGUCAUUGUAGUAAUACAAGGCAGACGGCUCAGUAACGCGUAGUCAACCUAACCUAUGGACGGGAAUAACCUCGGGAAACUGAGUAUAAUGCCCGAUAGAACAUUAUGCCUGGAAUGGUUUAUGUUCCAAAUGAUUUAUCACCGUAGGAUGGGACUGCGGCCUAUCAGUUUGUUGGUGAGGUAAUGGCCCACCAAGACUAUUACAGGUACGGGCUCUGAGAGGAGUAGCCCGGAGAUGGGUACUGAGACACGGACCCAGGCCCUAUGGGGCGCAGCAGGCGAGAAAACUUUGCAAUGUGCGAAAGCACGACAAGGUUAAUCCGAGUGGUUUCUGCUAAAGGAACCUUUUGUCGGUCCUAGAAACACCGAUGAAUAAGGGGUGGGCAAGUUCUGGUGUCAGCCGCCGCGGUAAAACCAGCACCUCAAGUGGUCAGGAUGAUUAUUGGGCCUAAAGCAUCCGUAGCCGGCUCUAUUAGUUUUCGGUUAAAUCUGUACGCUCAACGUACAGGCUGCCGGGAAUACUGUAGAGCUAGGGAGUGGGAGAGGUAGACGGUUACUCGGUAGGAAGGGGUAAAAUCCUUUGAUCCUUAUUUGAUGACCCACCUUGUGGCCGAAAGGCGGUCUACCAAGAAACACGUCCGACCGGUUGAGGGAUGAAACGCUGGGGGGAGCAAACCGGAUUAGAUACCCGGGGUAGUUCCAGCUGUAACUAUGCAACUCCCGUGAUGCCUUUGGGCUUGUGGCCACUGCGUUGGCCUGCCGGGAAGCCGUUAACUUUGCGGCUGGGAAGU
rnacentral:rRNA from 1 species